CGGCCACAAGACUUUCAGAAGAAAACUCACCAUUUUGCCGGUGUGUGUUUGCCAGGACUAUCACACAUGCAGAGGUGACCUCAGGUGGAGGUUGUUGAGGGGGAAGGCCCAAGGGAUGCACUCUACGACCCUGGUCUUUCCUCGAUCCAAGGCGCGGCGGCGGGUCGAGCGCCGUGAUCCAGCGCGCCCCUCUGCGGGGGUGGAGCAGGUGAGGGCGGCUUACCCUGGCGACGCCGCAACCCGGCCGAACCGCGGGUCAAUCACGCGCCCCCCGCCACACCCCGAGGGCCUUAACAGGGGCUUCGUCGAGCAGCUCCAGAAUGUCGACGGCCAACUGCGUCUGAAUAAAUAAAUAAAUAUUUUCAUGCAACUUAUUCUUCAGCACAAGAUUAAACUCCAACUUUCAAAGGAGCCAUACCUGCUGAACCUGCGCUCAUCCUGCUGCCACGGCGGCCUCGACUUCAGCCAACGCAGAUUCAUCUGCUGCUUGCUCUAAGGCAAAGAGCAAAACUUCCAUAAAGUUUGGCUCCACAAAUAUGCCACCGAAGUCUGAUAUGCCUGAAGGAUGCCUGGAGUGCACAAUCUGUGGAAAGAAGAUGUUCGCAGCCACAAAAUUGCAAGCGCACAAGGCCAAGUGGCACCCAUGAAUGAAAAAAGCUCAUAUGAGCAUAUUG